UUGAUGUUGCUUCUUCUCCUAAUGAGAUUCCACAUCCUACGAAUUUUUAGGAAUGGAUAACGGGAAUAAAAUCGGCUGCAGCACUUCUGCAUGGAGCAGUCGCUCGCCGGGUGGACCUGCUGCAGGACGACGUAGCGCUGUGUUACUGCAGCGGCGUCAGCGUACAGGCUCGGGCCUUAUACACACACACACACACACACACACACGCUCACACACACACACUCACACACUCACUCACAUACACUCUCUUUAUUCACUCAUUUAUAACACACGCAGGACAGGACGCUGGAUUGUGGAUUUUUUUCCCCCCUGAAUGUUGGAUAUAGCAGUUUAAAUCCUGGACAUGAAGAGACACCGUUAUCUCUCUGUCUUCUCUCCUUCAUCCGUCUCAAGAAGACACAAGAAGACAUCUUAGAGAAGAAGACCCCCCUUCCUGACAGCGGCGGUCUGGUGGGCUAGCAGCGAUCCAUCUCUGUCAGAAAGCUAAAAUGAUAAUGCCAAUUAAACCAGAGGAGUAAUUUUUGGCUCUAGGUUCCCUCAAAAGACCUUGCCGUGGAACAGGAAUGAAAAGACCGACCUCAGGAGGAGGAGGAGGAGGAGGAGGAAACAGAGCAGAAAUGGCAGAAGCAGACAUGUGAAAGGCAGAGGGGAUGAUUGCUUGGAAGCUGUCAGAGGUGAACACACUGCUGGCAUGCUGGGAGGUUCUUUAGAUCAAGAACCAUUAGGAACCAUGAGGAACCAUGAGAUCACUCUGAGCUGGAGCUGAGAAGACUCGAGCUGGCAGACUGGCUUUGUAGGAAUUAGAGAUGCAAUAAUACCACACGGUUAAAACGUUCGAACCGUUAAGAGUUCUUCAGUUUUCCAUCUGAGGGAAGUUUCUGUGUAAAUACCCUACAUCCUAGUGAUUUCUUAUCUGUGUUCCAAGUAGAACCUUUUCUGGAAGAUAAGAGCCUUUAAUUAUCCAAUGAAUCCUUAAAGAACUCUUGAAGAACCUUUUGUUUCUAACUGGGUAAGUUUGUGGUACAAGCUCCAAAUUAUUGCUCAUUAUUCAUUAUACUUCUCAAUAUCUAGAACCUGUCAGGAGUUUAACAUUUUUCUCUUACUACUUGGUA